UGGGGAAUAUUGCACAAUGGGCGAAAGCCUGAUGCAGCAACGCCGCGUGAGUGAUGAAGGCCUUCGGGUUGUAAAGCUCUGUCUUUUGGGACGAUAAUGACGGUACCAAAGGAGGAAGCCACGGCUAACUACGUGCCAGCAGCCGCGGUAAUACGUAGGUGGCAAGCGUUGUCCGGAUUUACUGGGCGUAAAGGAUGCGUAGGCGGAUUUUUAAGUGAGAUGUGAAAACCCUAAGCUUAACUUGGGGACUGCAUUUCAUACUGGAAAUCUAGAGUGCGGGAGAGGAGAAUGGAAUUCCUAGUGUAGCGGUGAAAUGCGUAGAGAUUAGGAAGAACACCAGUGGCGAAGGCGAUUCUCUGGACCGUAACUGACGCUGAGGCAUGAAAGCGUGGGUAGCAAACAGGAUUAGAUACCCUGGUAGUCCACGCCGUAAACGAUGAGUACUAGGUGUAGGAGGUAUCGACCCCUUCUGUGCCGCAGUUAACACAAUAAGUACUCCGCCUGGGAAGUACGAUCGCAAGAUUAAAACUUAAAGGAAUUGACGGGGGUCAU
rnacentral:rRNA from 1 species